rnacentral:lncRNA from 1 species
AAUCCAUGAGCAUAGUCGCUCCCUAACCGAUUAGGUAAACCUAGAAAAACAACCAUAAUUUAUUGUGUCACAUAAUCGAUUAACAAUGAUAUAUAAUCAAUUAAGAGGCGUUAUUAUUGCCUUAAUUGAUUAAAUGAGGAGCCUAAUCGAUUAGACAAUUUAGUUUUACUUUCAUAAUUGAUUAGAAAGCUUCUUAAAUAAUUAAGUAUUUGUCAAGAUUACUU